rnacentral:rRNA from 1 species
GGCUUACCAUGCAAGUCGCGCGUGAAAGGACUUCGGUCCGAGUAAAGCGGCGCACGGGUGAGUAACGCGUGGAUGAUCUACCCAUGAGUUAGGAAUAACGGCUGGAAACGGUCGCUAAUACCGAAUACGCUCCGAUUUCAACUUCGGGGGAAAGGUGGCCUCUGCUUGCAAGCUACUGCUCAUGGAUGAGUCCGCGUCCCAUUAGCUAGUUGGUGGGGUAACGGCCCACCAAGGCGACGAUGGGUAGCCGGUCUGAGAGGAUGACCGGCCACACUGGGACUGGAACACGGCCCAGACUCCUACGGGAGGCAGCAGUGGGGAAUAUUGCGCAAUGGGCGAAAGCCUGACGCAGCGACGCCGCGUGAGGGAUGAAGGUCCUCGGAUCGUAAACCUCUGUCAGGAGGGAAGAACCGCCACGGUGCUAAUCAGCCGUGGUCUGACGGUACCUCCAAAGGAAGCACCGGCUAACUCCGUGCCAGCAGCCGCGGUAAUACGGAGGGUGCGAGCGUUAAUCGGAAUCACUGGGCGUAAAGCGCACGUAGGCUGCUUGGUAAGUCAGGGGUGAAAGCCCGCGGCUCAACCGCGGAAUUGCCUUUGAUACUGCCGAGCUAGAGUCCGGGAGAGGGUAGUGGAAUUCCAGGUGUAGGAGUGAAAUCCGUAGAGAUCUGGAGGAACAUCAGUGGCGAAGGCGACUACCUGGACCGGUACUGACGCUGAGGUGCGAAAGCGUGGCGAGCAAACAGGAUUAGAUACCUGGGGUAGUCCAUAAA